UUUUUGAGGCGAAUUUCUGACUUCAAAUGCAAACAGCUCCUACAAAAGGUGUUGUAAUAAUUUUUUUAAAGAACAUAUUCUGAAUCGAGGAAGGAUAGACUACAAUCCACGGCUUUUGUUUUGUUUAGUUUUUUCGAAAAUUUGAUAAAAGAAAUAGAAAAAAAGUAUAAAAAAUAGAAAAUUCAAUAGCUCCUACAAAACAGGUGCCAUGCCUACGAAAACUCCAUAUUCUGAAUCGGGGGAGGGUGUACUAAAAUCCACAGCGUUUUAGUAUUUCAAGAUUUUUCAUUUCAAAAUGUACUAAAACGAUGAAUAUUCAAUAGCUCCUAAAGAAAGCUCCUGCAAAAUAGGUGCCAGUUUGUAUCGUCUUAAAGCAAGUCAUCAAAUACCAAAAAGUCUGUUUGGCGGUGCCGGCGUGGGCAAGACCGUGUUGAUCAUGGAGUUGAUUAACAACGUGGCCAAAGCCCACAGUGGUUACUUGG